AUGAACGCUAGCGACAGGCCUAACACAUGCAAGUCGAGGGGCAGCACAAGGAGCAAUCUGAGGUGGCGACCGGCGCACGGGUGAGUAACACGUAUGCAACCUGCCUGUAAGCGGGGAAUAACCCGUUGAAAGACGGACUAAUACCGCAUAAUACUAGAUUACUGCAUGGUAAUUUAUUUAAACAUUUAUGGCUUACAGAUGGGCAUGCGCAUGAUUAGCUAGUUGGAGAGGUAACGGCUCCCCAAGGCAACGAUCAUUAGGGGUUCUGAGAGGAAGGUCCCCCACACUGGUACUGAGACACGGACCAGACUCCUACGGGAGGCAGCAGUGAGGAAUAUUGGUCAAUGGACGAGAGUCUGAACCAGCCAAGUCGCGUGCAGGAAGAAUGUCCCUAUGGAUUGUAAACUGCUUUUGCAGGGGAAUAAAGUGCAUCACGUGUGAUGUUUUGUAUGUACUCUGCGAAUAAGGAUCGGCUAACUCCGUGCCAGCCGCAGC
rnacentral:rRNA from 1 species